GUCCAACUACGCUGAACAUUUCAGUCCAGAGAACUUAAAAAGAUGGCCCCAGCCCGAGUCCGUGCCGCUCAUGGAGGUAGGUAUUAGCUAGAGAAGACAUUGAUGAAGCUGUACAUGCAAUAUUAUUUAGAGAAAAUUAUGUUGUGAAGAGAUUGGAUACAUAUUUUCAGCAUCUGGAUACUUUUAAGGAAAGAAGAAAAGAGAUGUUACACAGAAAAUGGAUUAUGAAUGUUGCAGAGCCCAUUCAACAGAAAAUUAUGGGAAAAGUAACUUCAAAUAGAGGAGCUGAAAAAACAAAGCGAGAGAACUUUGAAUGUUUUUUUUUUUUAAAAUCCACAGAUAAAACGGCUCCAGUCCCUCCGUUUUGUGGUCCUCUGCUGCGAAGACAGCAAAAGGCAGAGGAAGAGGCCAGAGCCAGCCGUUGAUAUGAGACAGGAAAAAAAUACUUCGCCAAAGAGCUCAAGGAAACCAAGGACAGCCUGCACGCCAAAUGGCCCCCGUUCAUUUUCACUCUGCAAAACGUGAUUCCGAAAGAGUCUCAUAAAGCCUCUGGGGUACCCAGGAAAAGUAAGGCAUUCAGUCCUGAAAAGCCUAUCUGUAUGGAAAAGAAGCGUCUGUUUGGUAAGGAGAAGACGACCAACCUCAGUCAGCUUGCUUUUGAAAGGCAGUUCCCUUUCUCCCAGCUCCGCAAGAACAAAGAGGCUGAGAAGAAGGGUCUGUGGUGCUGGGAUUGAACCUAAGGCCUCGUGCAUGCCGGGAGAGCUGCCCCAGCCUUAAGAGGCGGUUUAUAUGCAGGGAUUUUGCUAUCAGUUUUCCACCCAGUGCUCAUGGUUUGCUGGGCACAGCAGCUCCUGGCCUGCGCCCCCCAUCCCUCUCCCACAAGCCCUGAAGCCUGAGGUUAGCCCCUGGGGAAGUGCCUGCGGUAGGCUAAGGGUCCAGGACCUGUUGUGAGUGGACAGCUGCACUUUCUCCUUCCACCAGCCACAUGCAGAGGGCCAAGGACCAUCUCCUCUCUCCAGUUUGAAAACCUGGUUGGAUAUUUUGGGACCCAGCUUCUCCUCAGCAUGUUGUUCUCCCAGUCUCUCUGGAGUCAAAUGAAUUCUCCUUAGAUGGCAGGUUACCAGACUGCUUUCCUCAUCAGCUUUUUCUGAGCAUAAUUAUAUUUGAGAGCAAAGGAGCCCCCCCCCCAUUCAAUUUUUUAAAAUAUUGAAUGUGGGUGAUGAUUUCAUGUACAUACUAAUAUAUCCUUCACUCAACAUUGUUACUGUGUGUGUGGUGAGAACACUUAAGAUCCACUCUCUCAGCAAGUUUCAGGUCCAGUUGUCCCUUGGUAUCUGUGGGAUUGUUUCUAGGAUGCUCUGUGAAUCCCACAGCAUGUGACGCUUGAGCCCCUUAGAUAGACGGUGUAAUUUUUGCACAUACCCUAUGCACAUCCUCCUAUGUACUUUAAGUCAUCUCUGGAUACUUAAGAUGCCUAGAUCAAUAUAAAUGCACUUUUAAAUAGUUCUGAUGUAUUGUUUAGAAAGUAAUGAUCAGGAAAAAAAGUCUAAAUGUUCAGUACAGAUACAAUUUUUCUCCCAAAUAUUUUUGAUCUGCAGUUGAUUAAAUCCAUGGAUGUGGAAUCCAUGAAUAGGGAGGUCCAACCGUAUAUAAUAGAGUAUUAAUAACUUAGUCACCAUGCUGUACAGUGGGUCUCUAGAGCGUCAUGACUAAAAGUGGACAGCCUUUGACCAAGGGUUCCCCCUUUUCCCACCUCUCACCUGACACCUGCUCUCUGAGUUCAGCUUUUUUAGAUUUCACACAUCAACCAGUUUUUGCAGUGUUAAUCUUUCUGGGACUGGCUUGUUUCAUUGAGAGUGAUGUCCUCCAAGUUCAUCCAUGUUGUUACAAACGAUAGGACUUCCUUGUCUUUACCAAUUCACCUAUCAAUGGACACUUAGUUUAUGUGUCUUAGCUGUUAUGAAUAAUGUUGCAAUAAACAUGGCAGUGAAAAUUUAAAAAAAAUAAA
rnacentral:lncRNA from 1 species